AAAACAACUACGCUCUCGCUGCCUGAUUGAAGCACAGUAGAUCACUGGCUUAAUCCCUUCACAAGGUGAGGGGACGAGACAUCCCGCAGGUGGAGAUUCCUGAUUCCGGCCUGAGCACGGGGUGCUAAGCAAUUUCGGGAUAGCCUUGUCGGCGCUCCGACGACGAGGCGAAACAUAGGAGAUAAGGUCGCGUUUAGGGCGUUCGCUCCCUUGCGCGGCACGAAAACCAACAGCGGAAUAAGCAUGUAGAAACCAUGGGGGUUCCUUGUUUGGACGAGGGUUCGACUCCCUCCAUCUCCACAA
rnacentral:tmRNA from 1 species